GCAGUGGACAUGUGAGCAGGGAAAAGCUUCAUCUCAAAGCAGGGAUGAAGCACGCAGCUAAGUGUCCCAGUGGAUGGCACCUGCUCUGUUAGAGUGAGAUAAGCAGAGAGUGGCAGUGAUCGGCACAGGGUUCCUUAGGACCCCGCCAGGAGCAAUCUCUCUGCUACCGUUGGCUACUUUGGGUUGACACAUUGUCUUUCUGACCUCAGGACCUUCUACCGCUUUGAGGCUGUAUGGGACAGCUCCCUACAUAACUCCCUCCUUCUGAACCGAGUGACACCCUAUGGAGAAAAGAUCUACAUGACCUUAUCUGCUUAUCUGGAGUUGGAUCAUUGCAUCCAGCCAGCCGUCAUCACUAAGGAUGUGUGCAUGGUCUUCUAUUCCCGAGAUGCCAAGAUCUCACCACCACG
rnacentral:lncRNA from 1 species